rnacentral:ncRNA from 2 species
UCUUAAGGUAGCCAAAUGCC